UCUCAACUCACGCGAAAGAACGAGAUAUUUGCAUUUACAGUGUGUGUGUGACUGUGUGUCUGUAGUGUAGAGAUGGAAACUCUGGUUUUGAGUGCCAUUUUGGUACUUACUGUGGCUCUUACGGCCUUGUUGAGUGUAUCUGUAGUAGCUGAGGAAGGCAAGAAAGUGUUGACUUUGGAUCAUUCCAACUUCUCCGAAGUUGUGGCCAAGAACGACUUCAUCGUUGUUGAAUUUUACGCCCCAUGGUGUGGGCACUGUAAAGCACUUUCCCCAGAGUACGAGAAAGCUGCAUUGUUAUUAAGCAGCCAUGACCCCCCUAUCGUUCUAGCAAAAGUUGAUGCCAAUGAAGAAGCGAACUUAGGAUUAGCAACAGAAUUUGAGAUCCAGAUUUUCCCCACUAUUAAGAUCGUAAGAAAAGGUGGGAAGAACAUUCAAGAAUACAAAGGCCCUCGUGAGGCUGAUGGUAUAGUUGAUUACUUGAAGAAACAAGCUGGUCCUCCAUCCUCUGAAAUUAAAUCGAAGGAAGAUGCUGGCGGUCUUAUAGAUGAGAAAAAUAUCUUUAUUGCUGGGGUGUUCCCAAAAUUUGCUGGGGAGGAAUUUGAGAAUUUUACGGCUUUAGCUGAAAAGUUGCGAUCUGACUAUGAUUUUGGACACACUCUUGAUGCCAAACUCCUUCCUCGGGGUGAAUCAGUGCAGAGGCCAACUCUUCGCUUGCUGAAGCCUUUCGAUGGACUGCUUGUUGAUUUCCAGGAUUUUCAAGUUGAUGCAAUGGAGAAAUUUAUUGAAGAAGCUAGCAUUCCCAUUGUGACUAUUUUUGAUGACAACCCAAUCAAUCAUCCGUAUGUUAACAAAUUCUUCGAAAAUCCUAAUGCUAAGGCAAUGCUGUUUGUGAACUUCAGCAAAGAGCUUGAUUCUUUCCAGUCAACAUAUAAGGAUAUUGCCAAGCAAUCCAAAGAGACGGGUAUAAGCUUUCUGUUGGGUGACCUUGAAGCCAGUGAACGUGCCUUCGAGUACUUUGGACUUAAAGAGGACCAGGUCCCCCUUCUUGUUAUUCAGAAACCUGAUGGAGAGAAGUACCUCAAGGCAAACAUCGAACCUGCUCAGAUUGCACCAUGGCUCAAAGAUUACUUGAAUGGCCAGGUGAAGCCAUUCAUAAAGUCGGAGCCUAUUCCUGAAGUCAACGAUGAACCUGUUAAGGUGGUUGUUACUGACAGCCUUCAAGACGUGGUUUUUAACUCCGGAAAGAAUGUUCUGCUCGAGUUUUAUCUACCAUGGUGUGGACACUGCAAGGAGUUGGCUCAAAUUUUGGAUGAAGUUGCUGUUUCCUUUGCAAAUGAUUCCGAUAUCAUGAUUGCGAAACUGGAUGCAACUGCAAAUGAUAUCCCAAGUGGCACCUUCGAAGUUCACGGAUACCCUACUAUGUACUUCCGAUCUGCAAAUGGUGACGUGAAGCAGUAUGAAGGGAAGCGAACAAAAGAGGACAUUAUUGACUUUGUUCAGAAAAAUCGGGAUAAGUCUGCUCAAGCUGACUCGGCCGAACCUGAGUCUGCCAAAUCUGAAACUGAAUAUUCAAAUUCAGCUAAGGAUGAACUAUGAAGAGGCAUUGCUUCCAAUGAGAGCUUUUGUUAGCAGGCAUUGCUUCCAAUGAGAGCUUUUGUUAGCAGGCUUUGCUUCCAAUGAGAGCUUUUGUUAGCAGGUUCCUUGUUACUUUGUUUUUUUGUUUUGUUUUUUUUUGGGUGUUGAAUAAAGCGGGGUACGCGCACAGAGCUUGUAGCAUUAGUAUUCUGGUUUUGUGUAGUUAGCCCUGCCCUAAGAGCCAUCCACAUAGUGUAAGACUUUUGAGUUAUAUAUCAGCAAUUUCCAUAUCCCUUUCAA